rnacentral:rRNA from 1 species
GUCCAUGCUGUAAACGAUGAUCACUAGGUGUUCGGGAGUAUUCCUGAGUGCCCAAGGGAAACCGAUAAGUGAUCCACCUGGGGAGUACGUUGGCAACAAUGAAACUCAAAGGAAUUGACGGGGGCCCGCACAAGCGGUGGAGCAUGUGGUUUAAUUCGAUGAUACGCGAGGAACCUUACCUGGGCUACAAUGCCCUGGACAGCUGCCGAAAGGUGGUUUCCCUUCGGGGCCAGGUGCAAGGUGCUGCAUGGUU